UACGUAGGGGGCAAGCGUUGUCCGGAAUCAUUGGGCGUAAAGCGCGUGUAGGCGGUUCAGUAAGUCUGCUGUGAAAGCCCAGGGCUCAACCCUGGGAUGCCGGUGGAUACUGCUGGACUAGAGUGCGGAAGAGGCGAGUGGAAUUCCCGGUGUAGCGGUGAAAUGCGCAGAUAUCGGGAGGAAUACCGAUGGCGAAGGCAGGUCUCUGGGCCACUACUGACGCUGAGAAGCGAAAGCAUGGGGAGCGAACAGG
rnacentral:rRNA from 1 species